UACGAAGGGGGCUAGCGUUGCUCGGAAUCACUGGGCGUAAAGGGUGCGUAGGCGGGUCUUUAAGUCAGGGGUGAAAUCCUGGAGCUCAACUCCAGAACUGCCUUUGAUACUGAGGAUCUUGAGUUCGGGAGAGGUGAGUGGAACUGCGAGUGUAGAGGUGAAAUUCGUAGAUAUUCGCAAGAACACCAGUGGCGAAGGCGGCUCACUGGCCCCGAUACUGACGCUGAGGCACGAAAAGCGUGGGGGAGCAAACAGGAUUA
rnacentral:rRNA from 1 species